rnacentral:rRNA from 1 species
UACGGAGGAUGCAAGCGUUAUCCGGAAUGAUUGGGCGUAAAGCGUCCGCAGGUGGCUGUGUAAGUCUGCUGUUAAAGAGUCUAGCUCAACUAGAUAAAAGCAGUGGAAACUACACGGCUAGAGUACGUUCGGGGCAGAGGGAAUUCCGGGUGUAGCGGUGAAAUGCGUAGAUAUCCGGAGGAACACCGGUGGCGAAGGCGGCUUCCUGGACCGACACUGACGCUGAGGCGCGAAAGCUAGGGGAGCAAACGGG